rnacentral:rRNA from 1 species
CGCACGGGUGAGUAACGCGUAUGCAACUUGCCUAUCAGAGGGGGAUAACCCGGCGAAAGUCGGACUAAUACCGCAUGAAGCAGGGGCCCCGCAUGGGGAUAUUUGCUAAAGAUUCAUCGCUGAUAGAUAGGCAUGCGUUCCAUUAGGCAGUUGGCGGGGUAACGGCCCACCAAACCGACGAUGGAUAGGGGUUCUGAGAGGAAGGUCCCCCACAUUGGAACUGAGACACGGUCCAA